rnacentral:rRNA from 1 species
AUUGAACGCUGGCGGCAUGCCUUACACAUGCAAGUCGAACGGCAGCGGGGGAGAAGCUUACUUUUCCUGCCGGCGAGUGGCGAACGGGUGAGUAAUACAUCGGAACGUGCCCUGUAGUGGGGGAUAACUAGUCGAAAGAUUAGCUAAUACCGCAUACGACCUGAGGGUGAAAGUGGGGGACCGCAAGGCCUCAUGCUAUAGGAGCGGCCGAUGUCUGAUUAGCUAGUUGGUGGGGUAAAGGCCUACCAAGGCGACGAUCAGUAGCUGGUCUGAGAGGACGAGCAGCCACACUGGGACUGAGACACGGCCCAGACUCCUACGGGAGGCAGCAGUGGGGAAUUUUGGACAAUGGGCGAAAGCCUGAUCCAGCAAUGCCGCGUGUGUGAAGAAGGCCUUCGGGUUGUAAAGCACUUUUGUCCGGAAAGAAAUGGCUCUGGUUAAUACCUGGGGUCGAUGACGGUACCGGAAGAAUAAGGACCGGCUAACUACGUGCCAGCAGCCGCCGUAAUAC